UAAACAUCAAAGGCCAUAAUUUCUUACUUCUACAAAUGCAAGAGGCAACGUUGCUUUACCGAUUUGGUAAUCAAAACCAUGGUAAAAGCUCAUAAUCCAAUAUCCCUAGGAGACACACUUCCUUGACCGGGUAAUUCAGGUUCAUAUAUUAGGUGAUGCACUUCCUAAAUUGAACCUUCACUCUUAGAAGCCGUACUUUCUAGUUGAGUCCUUCCAUUUAAUCUUUAGGAGAUGUAUUUCUUUGUUUGGGUAACUUAAGUAAAAUUUGUAAGGAGACGUAUUUCUUUGUUUGGGUAAUUCAAGCGAUAUUUAUAAGGAGACCCAUUUCCUUGUUUGGGUAGUUCAAGCGACAUUUGUAAGGAGACAUAUUUUCUUGUCUGGGUAAUUCAAGUGGCAGUUGUAAGGAGACACACUUCCUUAAUUAGGUAAUUAAAGUUUCACUUGUUUGGUGAUGCACUUCCUAAUUUAAAUCUUAACUCCUAGAAAAUGCAAUUUCUAGUUGAGUCAUUCCACUUGACCCCUAGGAGACACACUUCCUUGACUGGGUAAUUCAAGUUCAUUUAUUAGGUGAUGCACUUCCUAAAUUUAACCUUCACUCCUAGAAGCCGUACUUUCUAGUUGAGUCCUCCAUUUAAUCUUUAGGAGAGAUAUUUCCUUGUCGAGGUAAUUUAAGUAGCAUUUGUAAGGAGACGCAUUUUCUUGUUUGGAUAAUUCAAGCGAUAUUUGUAAGGAGACACGUUUCCUUAUAUGGGUAAUUCAAGUGGCAUUUGUAAGGAUACCCACUUUCUUAAUUAGGUAAUUCAAGUUUUACUUGUUAGGUGAUGCACUUCCUAACUUAAGUCUUGACUCCUGGAAAAUGCAUUUUCUAGUCGAGUUAUUCCACUUGACCCUUAGGAGACACACUUUUUUUGUUGGUAUUCAAGGAGACGUAUUUCCUUAUAUGGGUAAUUCAAGUGGCAUUUGUAAGGAGACCCACUUUCUUAAUUAGGUAAUUCAAGUUUUGCUUGUUAGGUGAUGCACUUUCUAACUUAAGUCUUGACUCCUGGAAAAUGCAUUUUCUAGUCGAGUUAUUCCACUUGACCCUUAGGAGACACACUUUUUUGUUAGGUAUUCAAGUUUCAUUUGUUAGAUGGUUCACUUCUUAACUUAAGCCUGGACUCCUAGAAAAUGCAUUUUCUAUUUGAGUCGUUCUACUUGAUCCUUAGGAGAUAAACUUCCUUGUUGGGUAUUCAAAUUUUCGCUCAUUAAGAGACAAACUUCCUAACUUAAGCUUUUACUCCUAGGAAAUGUACUUUAUAGUUGAGUAGUUAACUCUUAGGAGGCACACUUCCUUGUCAGGGUAAUUCAAGUUUCGCUUAAUAGGUCGUUCACUUCCUAACUUAAGCCUUUACUCCUAGAAAAUGCACAUUCUAGUCGAGUCAUUCCACUUGAACCUUAGGAGACACACUUUCUUAUUUAGGUAUUAAAAUUUCACUUGUUAGGUGGCACACUUCCUAACUCAAGCCUUGAUCCCUAGAAGAUGCACUUUCUAGUCGAGUCAUUUCACUUAACCCUUAGGAGACACAUUUCCUUGUAUGGGUAAUUCAAGUUUGGCUUGCUAGGUGACACACUUCCUAAUUUAAGCUUUUACUCCUAGAAGAUGCACUUUCUAGUCGAGUCAUUCCACUUAAUCCUUAGUAGAUGCACUUCCUUGUCAGGGUAUUCAAUUUUUUCAUUUGUCGGGUGACACACUUCCUAACUUAAACCUUUAUCUCUAGAAGAAGCACUUUCUAGUUAGAGUUCCUCACUCUAUUUUUUAGAAGACGCACUUCCUAGUCUUGGUCAUUUAAUUUUAUCCUCAAGAGAUGCAUUUAUUGAUCAGAGUCUUGAUUCACCUUUGCAUUACGCAUUUUGCAAAUAGUUGUGAUUGAGUUUGACGCCCAUACAAGUUUUUGAUGAAAAACUGGGCAAAAAUUUAAUUCCUGUUAUUUGGAACUUCACUUUUGCACCCUCCUAGAAAAUAGGACUUUACUUUACUGAAAAUGGAAUCUCUCUUUAUAAUAAUCUUUGUUUGGGAUAAUGUUUGUUCUAGUUUUGAUUUUGAUUUUAGGAACCCUCUUGGAGAACAGGGUGAUGACAUUGAAAUUCAAGAGCCCGCCCGAAGAAUGGGGUGUUGAAAUUGCAAGUUAGGAGCUCGCCUGAAGAAUAGGAUAAAGAAAUUAAAAGUCAAGCAACAAGGUGAAGAAAUUAAAAGUCAACAGAUUAAAAAAAUAGCAAUUCAGGGGCCCGCCUGGAGAACAGAAUGAAGAAAUUAAAAGUUAAGCAACAAAGCGAAGAAAUUGUACCACCGACAAAACAUGGUCAAUUUUUGAGUUCAUCUCCAACACCAGAUUUUGUAUGGAGAAAGAAUUAUUCUCAAAUUUAAUCCAAUGAAAAUCAAAUCAUUCAUCACUUUUGAAAGCAUUGAAGACUCAAGUCAAGAGUCAAGAGAAGCUGCAUAGAUAGGAUUUUUGUAAUGUCAGUUAUAUUUUUAACUUGUAAUUUCAUUUUUGAUAUAAUGACAGAGCCGCGGAUCAGAACCUCGAUAGGCCUCACUCGACUUUCCAACUCAGUAUGGUCUCUUUCCUUGUCAGCUCUAGAGUUACGUGUGACUUGACUCCUACAUAACUUGAGAUAGGUAGAAUGCCCAAAAUCGAAACUCGAUUGCCCUUCUUCCUUUUGUUUCUUUGUUUUAAGUAACGGUCGGGAUAAAAUUCUGUCUCAUUGUCUACUUCUUUGUUUGAAAACACUUUGAGUUUACAUCCACAGAGGGGCAUGAUAUAGACAUGUAAUUUUGUCCCCUCCAAAAGUUAACUUUACCCAUUCAUCCUUGCCUAACCAUGUACCCUAUCAAAUUUAACCACCUCACCUUAUCCUAACUACUCACACUCUUACCCACCUUACUACUCUACCCAACCCCCUACCCCACUCAUAUUUUUUCUAUUUUUCUCUUAAUAAAAUACAGGCAGCAACCAUACAUACUCACACACACCUCACUGUAUAGAGGGGGAAUUUUCACACUACGCACAAACUCUAUUUUUCAAUCUUCCACAGAUAAUAUACAUGCACAUUCACAAAAAAAAUAAAAAUGGACCCUCACCAAAAAACACACACACAAUAUAGAAGGGGCGAGAUCAGAGACGGAGAGGGUGGAUAGUAAAACGAAAAGAGGGAGAGAGAGAAACACACUGAGAGUCUGAGAGAGGGAGAUGAAAGACGAAGAUUGAAAAUAGAGAGGUUAAAUAAAGGAGAAAAACAACAACUUAGGCUAGAUUUUUUGGCGAAUAAUUCAUCGGAAUCCCGAUCUUCUCCGGUAUGACCCACCGAAAUUCAUUGUUGUUGUCAGCCACCUGCAACUAGUGGAAGCAAUUCCAUCAGAGAAAACCAAACCAGCAACUAAAAUCCAUCGCAGUAGUGCACCACUGCUUGAUGGUGCUCCGAGUUAAGCUCAGAUUGACGAUGGUCAUUAAUUCUCAUUGCAAACUCGAGUUAGGCUCGAGUUGGUCAUUCAGUAUUUGAUUCAGGUCGACAAAAAAUAGAAUAAGAGGGUAUAUCGAGUUGGUUGUUUGAGAUUCGAUUUAUGGUUUUUGGAUCCGGC
rnacentral:lncRNA from 1 species